UCUAAUCAAAUGUAUUUUGCAUUUAGAUUUUUCGUUUCUAAGGGUUACAAUAUUUGUAACGGUUAGUG
rnacentral:tRNA from 1 species